rnacentral:misc_RNA from 1 species
GGAAGGAUCAUUACCGUUUCUUGCCGGCCCACGCCGCGGGAGGGUCUUUUAUACUGUGUGACGGCCUAACCCGCCGGACGCAUAUAUGUAUACGUAGGCCCGAACGCGGGAGUGGGCGGCACAACCAACCCCGCGAAGCUGUCUUUUAUUGCUCACAAUUAUACGAAGCCGGGC